rnacentral:lncRNA from 1 species
GGAAUGAGCAAUGACCGAAACUAUAUACUUAACUAUUCGAAUAAAACUUUUAAUUCUUGUCAAACUACAAGACUUUCAUGCAAAGGUUCGAAGAUCCGUAUUUGAACCCUCAUACUGAUUCGUAUAUAAUAUUUAAUAAGUCUAAGAUUCUUAAUCAUCCAAAUUCCGACAAGAAAGGAGACUUCCAAACUCGAAACUGAUACGUUUUGUAUUGGUAAAACUUACAUUGGAUGAAGACCUUCGAUGACGAGAAUCUUGGGAGGCUGAAUAAGCUCAGGUGCGUCGAGAAGUCCUGUGACGUGAUUAUAAAUAGGUUUCUCGACGGCGAUGCCACUCUUGAGAGCUUUGACUUGCUCAUACAUGUUUUUUUUAAUUCGAAUGGUUUAUUGGCAUGAAGACAAUGUUGCUAUAUAUUUUGGUGAUAUCAAACUCCCCAGUUUUGAUUCUAUGGUCAGAUACGCAGUGCUAUUGUGUUUAAAUCGAUUUUUAUAAUCAACAUUAGACCUCUUUUAUUCAUAUGAACUUCUUCAAUUUGAGGUUAUAUGGUGAGAAGAUACGAAGUAAUAAACUUGGUAAUUAUAAUUAUAAGCUCGAAAUAGGUUCAGUUAAUGAAGUAUUAAAGGUGAAAUUAAACAACUAAUCAAUCUUAAGUCAGUAAUAAUAGUUGGUUUUAUGCAUAAACGUUAGAAAAGUGAAGUGCAGUGAUCCUUCAAUACCUGCCUCGCGAGAUCAAACGCUCCACUGUUCUUAUAGAUCAAAUACAUAUUGUGAGCAGCCUCUUUACGUAGGUCACAAUUAACAGGUUUACGCUCUUCUGCAACAUUUGGAUCUUCAUUCGGAAGUUCUGGUAUUGGAUAUUCUUUCUCAUAAAACCGCUAUAACCUUCUCGUAGCACGAAGCACAAGUCCUACGUGAUGAUACUCCUGAGCAACGUUAUACAACGCCACUUGGCUGUUACUGCAGAUUCUGAGAUUGUUGUAUAGACAUGCAUCUUGAGUCGGAAACCGAGAGUUAAGUUGAUUAAAGCAGCUCCGGAAAAAAAAGAUGGAGAAGGUGAAACUUUAUACUACUUUUUAAACCCUGACCGAAAAAAAAUCGCGUAUAGAAAGCUCUCUCUAACGUGGAAUGUUUUAGUUAAUUGCAUGUACCAAUCAAUCACAAUCACACAAGGGUUUCGUGGUGUAGUUGGUUAUCACGUCAGUCUAACACACUGAAGGUCUCCAGUUCGAACCUGGACGAAGCCAUUAUUUUAUUUUUCUUUAACAAAACGAAAAUACUCAAAUUUCGUAUUAACAAAAAUAAUCGCCGUUGCCGGGGAUCGAACCCGGGUCACCCGCGUGACAGGCGGGAAUACUUACCACUAUACUACAACGACCUUGUUGUUUGCUAAUCAGACUUUUAUAUUUAUUUUCUAUAACGUGAGUUUCUCUAAGGUUCUGUUCUGUACGUGGUUAUUGCUGUUGAUGAUAAUGUGGCUUUCCAUAUUUGUAGAUGAGCUAAAGAAUUAUUUCUGUGUAAAUGGUGACAUAAUUGAGAAUCAGUUUAUGUAUGAUCACCACACUGGAAAGUCAAGAGGGUUUGGUUUUGUAACCUAUCUGACUGAAGAUUCUGUGGACAAACUUUUCUCUGAUGAGAAAAGUUCAUGAGUUCAGUAACAAACAGGUAACCCUUUCUUUUACUUAUGUUUUCAAGUUUAAGCUAAAGAACCGUAGUAUAUCUCAAGCACUUACAAUGGCUCAAUCGGUCGAUAUAAAAAGGGCUGAACCAAAGAAAACCGGAGGAGAUAACAGCUUUAGCUCCUACGGUGCUAGUGGAAAGUAUGAUCAGGAAGAUUGUUAUGGUGGGAAAGAAAAUGGAGAUAACAUUAUGUAUUCGGGUAAUGGGGAUUAUAUUGGUUUUGGAGCUUAUGACGUCUUCAUUAGUCUUAACUCUUAACGUUGCAUAUACGUUUAUUCCAAGCAGUACCGGACUAACAUUUUUCACUGCCCCAAUCAAAAUUUAAAAUUAUGCCUUUGUGCAUAUUUUAUCAAAAUCAUAAAACAGUAUAAAACAAUUUUAAUUUUUAUUAAAUAGAAAUAGAAGUCUAUAGUUUGUUCAGGAAAUAAAACUGUGAUAAAAAUAUUUAUUGGUAAAAUUAAUUUUGUUUUUUAUUUUUUUAUGCAAAAUUAUCCACUAGAUUUCUACAGUCAUUUUUUUCAACCAUCCAUUAUAUGUCUAUCAUAAAAAUCAGUAAACACAAUCCAUAAAUAUUAUCGUAAUAAAGUGAAGCUAUCAAGCUUUUAUCACAUUUCGAAAACUAUGAACUAACAAACAUAUCUUCUUACUACGUAAAGGAUUAGUUGAAAAAACUGAAACAUUAAAACUAAACUAUAUAUUAAGGGUUAAGAGAAAAGAGGACAAAAAAAAAUUAGAAUAAAAUAAAAUUAUGCAAAACGAUGCAAAAGAAUAAAUUGAAACCAAAAGAAAAUCUGUUUUGUUGCUAAUUUUAAUUAGAGUUUGAAUUAUCAUCUAAAAUAGAAAUUUACUAAUAUAUUUAAUAUAUAACAAAUUUAUAAAUAUAGUUGAAAAGUUCAAAAAAUUUUAUAUAAAAAUGCCUUAUAAAUAAUAUUUUAACAAAAAAAAUUACAAAAAUUUAUUUGUUUAUAGGUAAUAAUACGAAUAUUUUUUUAAAAAUAUGCCCUAUUAUUUUGGAUGCCCUAAUCCACGGCUUGGGUGGCUUACCCUCCGGGCCGGCCCUGAAAGCUAGUAAGGGCUCUUCUUCAAAAAUAUAUUGGUAAUAUAUAUCUCUUUUUCAGUUCAAAAAAAUAUAUAUAUAUAUCUUUUGCAGAUAGCCAAGGUGAUAAAAAUAUUUAGAUGUAUUUCCUUUUUGAAGAAAAUAUAUCUUUUUUCCCUUGAAUGUUUCAUGCAGUUGUGGAUUUCUCUCUGAUCCAGAAGGCAUCAAAGGCAAGUUUUUACCAGUGCACUUCUGUAACUCGAAAUCAAUAUGUAUCUAUGUUAGAUACGUACUAAAAUACAUGAGUAUGAUCAACAGGAAGAAACCUUAAUUCAUUCUUUUGCUUAAAGGUUGAUUUUCGGUUUUAAUCUACUUUUAUCAAUAGAUACUUUUAUCAAUAGAUAAAAGCAUUGUACUAACUUAAUUGUUAUUGCUCUGCUAAUAAAUUUUCUACAUUACAUGCUUUUCUUUUUAUAUCUCCACACAAAUUACAAACAUGCAACACCGUCCUUUUCUCCAUGAAAAUCCGCGGAAACAAAGCAUAAAGAAAGAAAGAAGAAGAAACAACCAAUGGGUUUAUCGACGCGUUCUGUUUUGCUUAUUUGUUUUAGGCUUUAGCAGCUUCUGUAGGAGCAUUGGCUUUGUUGGCAAUGAGCUGCUCAUAGAGAUCUCUGAUUUUCAAUCCAACAAUGGUCUGGAAAAGACCAGUUCCGUUGUUGCUACCAGGGAAGUCAGCAUGUUUGAGCAUUUGUUGAGUCACUUCACCGUAGAAUUUGGUCGAGAGGUUGCUCAGAUGGCUCUCCACGUAAAUCAGCUCGUCAAGUCUAUCGAAUUGCCCAUCCAUCUCCACAACAGAAACCUGAAAGAAAGAACAAAUGUUCAAACCAAGAUCUAAAGAAACUUAAACUUAACUCAUUCUGCAACCUAAAGAGACAAAUGAAUGCACCUCAUUGUCGAAGUAGGAAUCAGGUUGGUAGUUGAACUUGAUGCCAGGGUAGGAGCAGGUGAGUUUGCGACCACAAGGGAUCCACGAGAUGGUUGAACCUUCAUCGAAUAGGUAAACCGGGCUGAAGUACUUAACACCUUCUUUCAUUAUCAAUCUCACUCUCAACACUUUGCCUUCAUUAUCAUCUGGAAUCAACUGCGUUGGAAGCACUUCUAUCACCGCAUCCGCGUACUGCUUUUGUGGGUCUGUAUAAGCCAUUCAUAGAUUGUUAAACCAGAUGAGUUAAUAUUCUAGGGAAAUAUAAAACAUAAACUAUAAUUAUACCGAUGAAUGCAUCGAAAUCGGGCUUUCGUGCUUCGAUACUUGCUUUGAUGCUCUCUAAACUGUGACCUCUCUCAGCCAUGUCCCUCUAUUAUCAUCAAACCGUUACAAAAGUCCAUAUCAACGACACAUUAACGGUAACGGUCGAGUGAAAUGAAAUAUGUAUAUAGAUAAAGAAACACACCUGGAUUUUCCAAGCGAAUUUGACCUCAUUGCUAAUGUCUAGGUAGAUACUGAAGUCCAACAAGUCUCUUACUCUCUCAUCAAACCUUCACAAGUAGAUAAAACAUUAUUAUAAAAUAUUGGAAUGAGCAAUGACCGAAACUAUAUACUUAACUAUUCGAAUAAAACUUUUAAUUCUUGUCAAACUACAAGACUUUCAUGCAAAGGUUCGAAGAUCCGUAUUUGAACCCUCAUACUGAUUCGUAUAUAAUAUUUAAUAAGUCUAAGAUUCUUAAUCAUCCAAAUUCCGACAAGAAAGGAGACUUCCAAACUCGAAACUGAUACGUUUUGUAUUGGUAAAACUUACAUUGGAUGAAGACCUUCGAUGACGAGAAUCUUGGGAGGCUGAAUAAGCUCAGGUGCGUCGAGAAGUCCUGUGACGUGAUUAUAAAUAGGUUUCUCGACGGCGAUGCCACUCUUGAGAGCUUUGACUUGCUCAUACAUGAGAUCAAAGUCAUUGGCGCGUGGGUCCAAAGCAGUGACUCCUUUCUCUUUGCGACCGGUCCUGUCCAACGAAUGGUAAUCGUCGAGACAGAUCACAGUGGUCAUGUCACUGAUGAGUGUGUUGGAGUCAGGGUUCCCUCCUUUUGGUGGCUCAGCGGCUCCACCGAAGACACUGGUUAGCCUCCGCAUGAAAGUACUUUUGCCGCAUCCAGAGUCGGCAGCGAGUCCGAUCACGACGGUUUGUU